UGAUCGGAAGGGUUUCCUUCCGGUCAACGAGGUACAUGUACCUCAUCAACCGGAAGGAAACCCCUCCGAUUGAUGAGGUACAUCUACCUCAUCGACCGGAAGGAAACCCUUCCGGUCA
rnacentral:miRNA from 1 species